ACGCUCGACACCUACGGGAGGGAGCAGUGGGGAAUAUUGCACAAUGGGGGAAACCCUGAUGCAGCGACGCCGCGUGAGCGAAGAAGUAUUUCGGUAUGUAAAGCUCUAUCAGCAGGGAAGAAACUGACGGUACCUGACUAAGAAGCACCGGCUAAAUACGUACCAGCAGCCGCGGUAAUCUGAGCGGGCUGGCAAGGC
rnacentral:rRNA from 1 species